GUGGGGAAUAUUGGACAAUGGGCGAAAGCCUGAUCCAGCCAUGCCGCGUGUGUGAAGAAGGUCUUCGGAUUGUAAAGCACUUUAAGUUGGGAGGAAGGGCAGUAACCUAAUACGUUAUUGUUUUGACGUUACCGACAGAAUAAGCACCGGCUAACUUCGUGCCAGCAGCCGCGGUAAUACGAAGGGUGCAAGCGUUAAUCGGAAUUACUGGGCGUAAAGCGCGCGUAGGUGGUUCAGUAAGUUGGAAGUGAAAUCCCCGGGCUCAACCUGGGAACUGCUUUCAAAACUGCUGAGCUAGAGUACGGUAGAGGGUGGUGGAAUUUCCUGUGUAGCGGUGAAAUGCGUAGAUAUAGGAAGGAACACCAGUGGCGAAGGCGACCACCUGGACUGAUACUGACACUGAGGUGCGAAAGCGUGGGGAGCAAACAGGAUUAGAAACCCGGGUAGUCC
rnacentral:rRNA from 1 species